UGAGGAUGGAUAGCAAGGAAGCC
rnacentral:miRNA from 1 species